GGGCGUGUAGCUCAGCUGGUUCAGAGCAUCUGCCUUACAAGCAGAGGGUCGGCGGUUCGAAUCCGUCAACGCCCA
rnacentral:tRNA from 2 species